CCUACGGGUGGCUGCAGUGGGGAAUAUUGCACAAUGGGGGAAACCCUGAUGCAGCGACGCCGCGUGAGCGAAGAAGGAUUUCGGUAUGUAAAGCUCUAUCAGCAGGGAAGAAAAUGACGGUACCUGAGUAAGAAGCUCCGGCUAAAUACGGGCCAGCAGCCGCGGUAAGACGUAGGGAGCAAGCGUUAUCCGGAUUUACUGGGCGGAAAGGGAGCGUAGGCGGCCUGCCAAGUCUGAUGUGAAAUACCGGGGCUCAACCCCGGGGCGGCAUUGGAAACUGGCAGGCUGGAGUGCCGGAGAGGCAGGCGGCCUUCCUCGUGUAGCGGUGAACUGCGUAGAUAUUAGGAGGACCCCCAGUUGCGAAUGCGGCCUGCUGGACGGUGCCUGCCGCUGAGGCUC
rnacentral:rRNA from 1 species